GGACUACUCGGGUAUCUAAUCCUGUUCGCUACCCAUGCUUUCGCUCCUCAGCGUCAGUAACUGCCCAGUAACCUGCCUUCGCCAUCGGUGUUCCUCCUGAUAUCUGCGCAUUUCACCGCUACACCAGGAAUUCCAGUUACCCCUACAGUACUCAAGUUAUGCCCGUAUCGCCUGCACGCCCGGAGUUAAGCCCCGGAAUUUCACAGACGACGCGACAAACCACCUACGAGCCCUUUACGCCCAGUAAUUCCGGACAACGCUCGCACCCUACGUAUUACCGCGGCUGCUGGCAC
rnacentral:rRNA from 1 species